AUUGAACGCUGGCGGCGUGCCUUACACAUGCAAGUCGAACGGCAGCACGGGCUUCGGUCUGGUGGCGAGUGGCGAACGGGUGAGUAAAGUAUCGGAACGUACCUUUCAGUGGGGGAUAACGUAGCGAAAGUUACGCUAAUACCGCAUAUUCUGUGAGCAGGAAAGCAGGGGAUCGCAAGACCUUGCGCUGAUUGAGCGGCCGAUAUCAGAUUAGCUAGUUGGUGGGGUAAAAGCCUACCAAGGCGACGAUUUGUGGCGGUUCUGAGAGGAUGGUCCGGCACACUGGAUCUGAUACGCGGUCCAGACUGCUACGGGAGGAAGCAGUGUGGAAUUUUGGGCAAUGGGGGCAACCCUGAUCAAGCCAUGCCGCGGGAGUGAAGAAGGCCUUCGGGUUGAAAAGCUCUUUCGGCCGGGAAGAAAUCGCAUGGGCUAAUACCCUGUGUGGAUGACGGUACCGGAAUAAGAAGCACCGGCUAACUACGUGCCAGCCGCCGCCGUAACAC
rnacentral:rRNA from 1 species